ACAGGGCGUCGUGUGACGUCUUGUUGAUGUUGUUGCCGUAGAGGAAGAUGGCGGCUCGCUGGAGUAGUGAGAAUGUGGUGGUGGAAUUGCGAGAUGCGCAGGCCACUGCCAUGUCCGUGGACUGCCUGGGUCGACAUGCUGUCCUGUCAGGACGGCGGUUUCUGUAUGUGGUGAACCUGGAGGCUCCGUCUGAAUCCAGGAAGAUUGGCAGACCGAGCAAAUGGGG